rnacentral:ncRNA from 2 species
UACGGAGGGUGCAAGCGUUAUCCGGAAUUACUGGGUUUAAAGGGUGCGUAGGCGGCAACGUAAGUCAGAAGUGAAAGCUCUCGGCUCAACUGAGGAAUUGCUUUUGAUACUGCGUAGCUUGAAUAAGGUUGAGGUUAGCGGAAUGUGGCAUGUAGCGGUGAAAUGCAUAGAUAUGCCAUAGAACACCAAUUGCGAAGGCAGCUGGCUAGACCUUUAUUGACGCUGAGGCACGAAAGCGUGGGGAGCGAACAGG